GUCAGUUGAAGGGAGGAUGGAUACUGCAUAAAGUCAAGAAAACUGCUGGUGGGAAUAAAAUAGCCUACAGUUUAAAAUUCAGUGUCACCAUUAAGGAACUGUCAGAAACAACAGACUGACAGCUGAGGCCACCGAUCAAGAGAUCGAAUCAUUUAUUAAAAAAUGGCUUCAUCUUUCAAGUGACCGAGACGGAGGGAGAAGAGAAAGAGAGAAUCGGAGGAGGGUCCAAGACACCUGCUUGCAAGAUUGCCAUGACGCAGAUGGGCCCAGUAAAGGAGGUCAAAUUCUAUAAUUUUGGAUGGUUCCAUUUGCCAAGGUUUUGUAGUGUGUUCACUUCUGCGUUGUCUGUUUGUUUUUUUGGAUGACCAAAGCUACUGGAAAUAUGUUUUGUUUUUAUUUAGUUUCUACAAUGCU